UGUAAUAAUUAAUAAAUUAAAGUAGUAAUAGUUAUGGUCUUGAAACUUAAAAAAUUUGGCGGUAUUUUAGUCUAUUCAGAGGAACCUGUAAUAUAAUCGAUAUUCCACGAUGAAUCUUACUUAAUUUUAUAUUUUAAUUUGUAUAUCGCCGUUAUUUGAAAAUUUUAUAAGAAAAAUAAUUUUCUAAAGUUUUUAUAAAAAAAUAAAUCAGGUCAAGGUGCAGUUUAUAAUUAAGUAUUAUAUGGGUUACAAUAAAUUUAUUUAAAUAAUGAAUUAAAAAAUGAAAUAUUUUUAUGAAAGUGGAUUUGAUAGUAAAUUUUUAAAGAUAAAAAAAUUGAUU
rnacentral:rRNA from 1 species